rnacentral:rRNA from 2 species
UGGAGGUUGUGGCCUUGAGCCGUGGCUUUCGGAGCUAACGCGUUAAGUAGACCGCCUGGGGAGUACGGUCGCAAGAUUAAAACUCAAAUGAAUUGACGGGGGCCCGCACAAGCGGUGGAGCAUGUGGUUUAAUUCGAUGCAACGCGAAGAACCUUACCUACUCUUGACAUCCAGAGAACUUUCCAGAGAUGGAUUGGUGCCUUCGGGAACUCUGAGACAGGUGCUGCAUGGCUGUCGUCAGCUCGUGUUGUGAAAUGUUGGGUUAAGUCCCGCAACGAGCGCAACCCUUAUCCUUGUUUGCCAGCGAGUAAUGUCGGGAACUCCAGGGAGACUGCCGGUGAUAAACCGGAGGAAGGUGGGGACGACGUCAAGUCAUCAUGGCCCUUACGAGUAGGGCUACACACGUGCUACAAUGGCGCAUACAGAGGGCGGCCAACUUGCGAAAGUGAGCGAAUCCCAAAAAGUGCGUCGUAGUCCGGAUUGGAGUCUGCAACUCGACUCCAUGAAGUCGGAAUCGCUAGUAAUCGUGGAUCAGAAUGCCACGGUGAAUACGUUCCCGGGCCUUGUACACACCGCCCGUCACACCAUGGGAGUGGGCUGCAAAAGAAGUAGGUAGUUUAACCUUCGGGGGGACGCUUACCACUUUGUGGUUCAUGACUGGGGUGAAGUCGUAAAGGGGGUAACCA